CUGGGAGCUGAAUAGCCAUCCGCUGAAUGGUGAUGAUGAUGCUAUGGAAGAAUUCGUAAUUCCUAUGCUAUCCAUUUUGCAGUAUGAAGGAAAUGGGUCACAAAUGCUCUGUUCUACUUCACUGCUGCUCCACAUCACAGCAUCAGUGACUGGUGCCAAGCUCCCUGAUCCCAGCACAGCAAAACUCCAUCUGGGUUGGAGUGCAGGGAGUUAAAAAGAGGACACCAGGAGACAACCUCUGCUUUGGAGUUGGUCCUCAAAGUAGGUCUUCUCAAGAUCUGUAUUUCCACUUGUACCACUCCAGCAUUGGCUUCAACAUUUCUGCUUCUAGGUCAGAAAUACCUGAAGCCAUGGAUUCUUGCUACGGUCCCAGGACAAAGGCCACAGAAGCAACACAAUAUUUGGAAUAGAGCUUGGGAAGUCAACUCUCCUGCCAAAAAGUAGGAUCAGCCACACCUGUCUCUGUGCGGAUAGAUGUUUGCUAAUAUAUGUUCUUUAAAACCGCUCAUGACUGAUGGAAAUUCCACAACCUCCUUGAAUAAUUCACGUCAGACUAUAGCUAUCUGAACUGUAGAAAAGAUUUGUCUAUCUUAAUAUCUAACACAGGAAAAGUUCAAAGAGAUUAACUGAUACAACCGAAGUCAACACUGCAAGUCCAUGAAGGAAAACCUGGGUGGAGUGAUCCAUUUCAAGCUUGUUUCAAGAUUUCAAACACUUUCUAAGGUCAAGUGGGUAUUGCUGGCCAAGCAUCAGUAGUUUAUUCGUUGCUUGAUUACAAGUGGAAUUGUAAAUGGAAUGAAAUAAGAUGGAUAUGGAGGAUUACCAACUGCUGUUGGCAUACUACUGCAUGCUUAAAGAUGUCUUCAUUCAUUAGCAGACUGUUUUAGCCUGCCAAGUUGGAAAUGAAAUGCAAGUCACAGCUUGUACAUUUAUCACUGUAAGGAAAGCAUCCUGCCAGUACUGGUUAGGCAAAGUGUACUCGUAGCCAUUAGUAGUCCAGUCUGAUUACUGGGCUCAAUCUGUUUCUAAUGGCAACCUUUGCAGUGACAGCAUUGUUUCCAUCUGUGCUCACAUGAGAAAUUUUAAAUCUUGGUGUUUAAAGUUCUUAAAUAACCUUACAGACACAAUUAUUUACUUUCUUAAGGAUUGUUCCAGCUGGUGUACAGCAACCUGGUAUAGGCAUAGGCAGGUGCAACAAGCAAACUGGCCCCUACCUUCUGCUUAGCAAGCCAAAUAUUAUUGUUAGCCAGUACUGCCUCCAAUUGCAACAGGUACUGUGACUUGGUAUCUUUGGUUUGUUCUCUUAAACGACCUGCAAUUCUCCUACCAAGCACUACAGUGAAUGACUGUGCUCCUUCUACUUCUGAGAGAAAGCUGAGAUCUAAUAAAAUUGAGACAGCAGCAAUGUCCGGAGAAGUUACAAGAGGAAAAUUCUGAGUGCUGAGGCUUAUGCCACCCUGGAGUUAACCUCUGCAUUAGAAGUCUGCAUUAGAAUUUCUAACCCAGACAAGUUAUUUAGCUUCUAUUAUGGUCAACAGAGGAAAACUUUCUUCAAGUAGAAAGCGGUUUCAUCUCGCCCACAUUACAGCACAGAAAAAUGUGGUCACAGCAGCAGUGAAGCAGAAGAGGAGGAUACAAUCCUAACAGGAAAGAGAUAUGACCAUCCACAGGAAGAAUGCACAGAAAAUGGCUGCAUUAUGAUAAUGGUGGUGUAUUGAUUUUACAGCAUCCUGCAAAAGAAUCUUAGCAAGAUUGUGAGGAGAAGGUUCUCAUAUGUGUUCUCCCUCCAACAUCAACUGUAUCAUUAGGUUUGAAAGGUAACUUCACAUGAACUAAUAAACAUUGUCUUUGUAUAAUUCUAAGCAUAAUGGAAAUACAAAAUGUGCUGCAAAAUUAAUGUAGAUGUAAUGAAACCACUGAAGAAGCUUGCUUUUGUGGUGUAUUAGGACAACAUAAGAGGUGCCAGUUGGCUUAUAUAGACAAGGCGAGGCAUGAUUUAGCCUGACUACUUCAGUUUAUCGGUAUUAAUGUAUGAAGAGCACUGUUUGUUGUGGGCAUUAGUUGUUGUCUCAUUUCACCUCGCGUUCUGAAUAAUAAAUGGUUAUGCAUGUUGCCUUCAAAAUAAUGUCAUAUAAAUUUUACAUAAUUUAGUUAUUAAGAUAAUAUGUGACAAUAUUUUUGUAACAGUAUCCUCCCCAUCACUCAACCGCUUCUGAAUGCUAAGGGCCAAUUAGAUGAUUUUUGCCUCUGAGAUCUGGUAAUCACUUGUUGACAGAUAUUAAAUGAUUCAUCUAAACACAUUCAACUGUUUUCUCCCAUGACAGAAAUAUCAUUUUUCCUUUUCUUUUUUUCUUUUUUUGAAUGAAUGUAGUGGUUGGGUAAUUAAAGCUCAAGAAGUUUAGAGCACCCAACAUCUGAAUUGCACUACACUUCAAAACUAUGAGCACUUAAUUUAUAGUGCACUUUUAAAAUUAAUUGCAAGCCCUACCAUCGAAGUAGCAUUAUUCUCCAUUAGGAGAACAUUUUGCUCUCCAGUUGCUUUAUGCUGCAGCCACCUCUGCAGAA